rnacentral:rRNA from 1 species
UACAGAGGUCUCGAGCGUUGUUCGGAUUCAUUGGGCGUAAAGGGUGCGUAGGUGGCGCUGUAAGUCGGGUGUGAAAUCCUGAGGCUUAACCUCGGAACUGCAUUCGAUACUGCGGCGCUUGAGGACUGGAGAGGAGACUGGAAUUCAUGGUGUAGCAGUGAAAUGCGUAGAGAUCAUGAGGAAGACCAGUGGCGAAGGCGGGGUCUCUGGACAGUUCCUGACACUGAGGCACGAAGGCCAGGGGGAGCAAACGGGG